UACGAAGGGUGCAAGCGUUACUCGGAAUUACUGGGCGUAAAGCGUGCGCAGGCGGUGAUGUAAGACAGAUGUGAAAUCCCCGGGCUCAACCUGGGAACUGCAUUUGUGACUGCAUCGCUGGAGUGCGGCAGAGGGGGAUGGAAUUCCGCGUGUAGCAGUGAAAUGCGUAGAUAUGCGGAGGAACACCGAUGGCGAAGGCAAUCCCCUAGGCCUGCACUGACGCUCAUGCACGAAAGCGUGGGGAGCAAACAGG
rnacentral:rRNA from 1 species